AAGAUGGCAGCGCCCUUGUCAAAGUGAAAACGAAGAUAUUUCGUAUUUCUCUACGGAUACGUUCUUUACCAAUAAUAAAAACUGAGAAAGAUUGACCAUGUCUCUGGCGGACGAGUUGUUGGCGGACUUUGAGGAUGAUGAUGUGGAGCAGAAUGUGGAGGAGGAAGCGAUGGAUGACAUCGCUGAGGUGGAUGAAGUAGUUCCAGAGGUGGAUUACUCCAACAAAGAAUCCGUAAAACACAUUGCAAAACUCCGGGAUGGACCAGACCUGGCGCGCAUUAUGACAGAAGUAAAGAGAUAUGCCAGUCAACCGCGGCGGGACAAAGUGGCGGGUCCGGUAGAGGCUGACCCAGAGUAUCAGCUGAUUGUGGAGGCGAACAACAUCACCGUAGAGAUCGACAAUGAAAUAAAUGUGAUUCACAAGUUUACAAGAGAUCACUACUCCAAGAGGUUCCCUGAGCUGGAAUCACUCGUUCCCACACCACUAGAGUACAUUAGGACUGUACAGGAACUUGGCAACAACAUCCUGGAGAACUCCAAGAGCUGACCCCCGAGGAACUGGCUGUCGUUAACGAAGCAUGUAAAAUGGCCGUCGACCUGACGGAGUGCAAGGCUAAGAUCUUUGAGUAUGUGGAGUCUCGUAUGUCCUUCAUCGCCCCCAAUCUGUCCAUCAUCGUGGGAGCCUCCAUAGCCGCCAAACUCAUGGGAACUGCUGGGGGCCUGACAAAUUUAUCCAAAAUGCCGGCCUGUAACGUUCAAAUACUUGGUGCACAGAAAAGAACCUUGUCUGGAUUUUCAACAGCCGCCAUUCUCCCCCACACAGGGCACGUGUAUUACAGUGAAAUCGCCCAGAAAACUCCGCCGGACCUGAGGAAGAAAGCGGCCCGUCUAGUGGCUGCCAAGUGUACACUGGCUGCCCGGGUGGACAGCUUCCACGAGAGCGUGGACGGAGCCAUCGGUGACAGCCUAAGGGCAGAGAUCGAGCAGAAACUUGACAAGCUUCAGGAACCACCCCCCGUCAAAACGGUCAAACCACUGCCAGCCCCUAUUGAGCAGUCCCGGAAAAAACGAGGAGGAAGAAGGGCAAGAAAAAUGAAAGAAAGAUUAGGAUUAACAGAAGUUAGAAAAGCGGCCAACAGAAUGAACUUUGGAGAGAUUGAGGAAGAUGCUUAUCAAGAUGAUCUGGGAUUUUCUCUCGGAGCUUUAGGCAAAUCGCGGUCUGGAAAAAUCCGUGGGCCAGUGGUGGACUCCAAAACCAAGGCCCGAAUCUCUAAGACUCUACAGGCUAAAGUUCAGAAGCAGAACAAUGUUUGGGGAGGAAGUACAACAGUGAAACGACAGAUUGCUGGAACAGCGUCCAGUGUGGCAUUUACACCCCUACAGGGACUUGAGAUCGUGAAUCCCCAGGCCGCUGAACGUAAAGUACAAGCCGCCAAUGCCAAGUACUUCUCUAGUACAUCUGGGUUCCACAAAAUCAAGAAGGGAGACACGUGACGGUGGCAGUGCCAUUUUCUGGUUGGCUUACUGUGUGUGUGUCAGUAGAAAGCCUUGAUGUAUAUCUUUCUACGUUUUUGAUUAUUUCAGCGAGAUCAAAUCUAUAUGUUACCGGUAUGUUUAUGGAAUACCCGACAUGGUUUUACAAAACUGUUGAUCAUUGUGAUGUAAUUGUCUCAUGUCAUCUUAUGAUAUUGUUUUAUAUUAAUCCAAACUGAAAUAUGUGGAAUAAAGUCAUUACAAUGU
rnacentral:misc_RNA from 1 species